AAUUGAACAACGCAAAAAACACGUUCAAGUUUCUCUCACCAUGCUGGCCCGAGGCGCGCCCUUACAGGCUGUACCCACGACUGCCGGUGAAUGAGAAGCAGAAACGGAGAUCAAAUCGAACAAUCUUGGGUGCGGUGCUUUCCUGGCUUUAUGUCACAUGGGGAGGAUCGCAAUGAUUGAGCGAACAU
rnacentral:sRNA from 1 species